UGUGUUUUGGUACUUUUUUGAGACCUAGUUGUUACUCAGUGCUUCCGCUUGCUGCUUGCCCUGAUCACUCUGCCUUAUUAUGCAUAACAACUGUGCAACAGACUUCCUGCCCUAUUUUCGCCUUGCUGAACAACUCUAAACAAUGUAAAAGUACAACUCUAACAUAGCUUAAUGACAACUGAAAUUGAAGAGUUCUGCGUUCACCAGAAUCUGAAGUGCCAUGGAUUGUGUCACCAAACAUCACAUUGUACCCAGUCUCGGAUGGGGAAUUUGGAAUCUCACCAGUAAGGCUCAUCUGCUAAAUGGUUUCUUUCCAGACAAACUGGCUUUGGAGUGCUUUCAGGACAAAUCACCAAUGAGUCAAAACAAGAAGCCAAGCAGAACGAAGCUACAAAGUGAAGGGACAGAGCAGAAAACCUUUAGCCUGAGCAACAAACUCUCAGUGUGGGGAAAAGGAUCAACUUUUACCUGCAAAGCUAAUCACAAUUAUACUGAAUAUAAGAAGACAAUAAGCAUUUGUCACAAAAUUCACCUUCUGGCUGAUUAAUGGAGUGCCACAAAUGAAAAAAAAAUGUGCAGAGAGUAAAACACAACUCUUAUUAUCAGUAAACUUUUUUCUUGAGUCAGAGGAUGCAAGUAAAGCAUUUAACAUGCAGAGGAGAGCAAAUGUGUGUCAGAUCUGCUGAGAAGACUAUAAAUAUUGCAGUUCAAACUCCAUAGAAAUCAGGAUCUUGACCAGAUCUGCUGAAGGGAACAACUGUCCUCAUGUGACCUCUACAUCACCUUACAAGUCAAUGUGGAGCUUCUUCUGGUCCAAAGUAAGGAGUCAAGAUCACAGACACUCUUAUGCUCUGGAUGGGUCUUCAACGCUCAUAUUAGAUGGUUUAACGAGUCUCAGCAAAGAUCUCCAACAACCACUGAUAUCAGCAAGAGAGUAGAUGGACAUGCUAGAGUGACCAGCCAACUUAUAAUUGAUCACUCUGAGUGGAAAACAGGAAAGAUCUUCACUUGUACAGUAUCUGACAGGUCUCUGAAUAAAAAUAUCACAAGAAAUAUCAAUCUCUGUUCAGGUAAAGUGAAAACACUAUUAUUGUGAUACACAAUAAGAUUUUUUUGGUUUUGGUGUUUUUUUCAAGUACCUCCAUCAUCCUCACAGCUAGUUGGGGUUUAUGUUCAGGGACCAUCACCACUGCAGCAGCCUGAGAACAAAGGGCCCGUGACUGUUAUCUGUCUUCUGGUUGCCCCUAGUCUUAAUGAUUUCUCCAUCACCUGGAAAUCAGCUGGCAACAGAAUUCCUGACUGUUAUGUCCUUACUAAUCCUGCAGUGAGUCACAACAAUGGGACAGAGACUCAACAAAGCUUCUUUAAUGUGUCAGCAGAAAAUUGGGAUGCAGAUAAACAAGAGUUUUGUGAAGGAAAACAUCCAUGUUCCAAUCAGGGCAAUGAAGACCAUAUAAGCAAAAACAGAGUGUUUUUCAAGACCUUUGUGUGCCAACAGUGAAGAUAAUGCAACCAACUGCCUCUGAACUUUCUAAGUCUGACAUCCUAACGCUUGUUUGCCUAGUGUCUGGAUUUUUCCUUGCUAACAUCAUAGUGUACUGGGAAGUAGAU